rnacentral:tRNA from 1 species
GGGGUUGUGGCUCAGUGGUAGAGUACUUGUCUAGCAUGCAUGAGGUACUGGGUUCGAUCCUCAGCACCACA